UACGGAGGAUCCAAGCGUUAUCCGGAUUUAUUGGGUUUAAAGGGUGCGUAGGCGGAUGAAUAAGUCAGUGGUGAAAGCCUGCAGCUUAACUGUAGAAUUGCCAUUGAUACUGUUUAUCUUGAAUAUAGUUGAGGUGGGCGGAAUAUGACAUGUAGUGGUGAAAUACUUAGAUAUGUCAUAGAACACCGAUUGCGAAGGCAGCUCACUAAGCUAUGAUUGACGCUGAGGCACGAAAGCGUGGGGAGCAAACAGG
rnacentral:rRNA from 1 species